rnacentral:miRNA from 1 species
UCGGGCACCGCACCGAAGGAUG